AGUGACGAUAGCCUAGGAGAUACACCUGUACCCAUGCCGAACACAGCAGUUAAGCCCUAGAACGCCUGAAGUAGUUGGGGGUUGCCCCCUGUUAGAUACGGUAGUCGCUUAGCAAGUUGGAGAGAGAUCUCCAUUUGGGAGUUUAGCUCAGCUGGGAGAGCA
rnacentral:rRNA from 1 species